GUUUGUUUGCCUCUUACUAGGUCCGUGCUUCCUUACUUCCCAUAUAGUGUUUGUUUUAUGGAAUGUAAAGAAGUAUGGAGCCUGUACGGGCGAAUCAACGU